GUGAGGAAUAUUGGUCAAUGGACGAGAGUCUGAACCAGCCAAGUAGCGUGAAGGAUGACUGCCCUAUGUGUUGUAAACUUCUUUUAUAAGGGAAUAAAGUGAGGGACGUGUCCCUUUUUGUAUGUACCUUAUGAAUAAGGAUCGGCUAACUCCGUGCCAGCAGCCGCGGUAAUACGGAGGAUCCAAGCGUUAUCCGGAUUUAUUGGGUUUAAAGGGAGCGUAGGUUGACAUAUAAGUCAGCUGUGAAAGUUUACGGCUCAACCGUGAAAUUGCAGUUGAUACUGUAUGUCUUGAGUGUACAAGAGGUGGGCGGAAUUCGUGGUGUAGCGGUGAAAUGCUUAGAUAUCACGAAGAACUCCAAUUGCGAAGGCAGCUCACUGGGGUACAACUGACACUGAGGCUCGAAAGUGUGGGUAUCAAACAGGAUUAGAUACCCGUGUAGUCC
rnacentral:rRNA from 1 species